rnacentral:rRNA from 1 species
UACGAAGGGUGCAAACGUUGCUCGGAAUUAUUGGGCGUAAAGCGCACGUAGGCUGCGCUGCAAGUCCCAUGUGAAAGCCCACGGCUUAACCGUGGAAGUGCAUGGGAAACUGCAGUGCUUGAGUACUUAAGAGGAUCGCGGAAUUCCCGGUGUAGAGGUGAAAUGCGCAGAUAUCAGGAGGAACACCGGUGGCGAAGGCGGCUCUCUGGACCACUACUGACGCUGAGGCGCGAAAGCUAGGGGAGCAAACAGG